rnacentral:rRNA from 1 species
AAAUGAAUAGACGGGGACCCGCACAAGCGGUGGAGCAUGUGGUUUAAUUCGAAGCAACGCGAAGAACCUUACCAAAUCUUGACAUCCUUCUGAAUAGCUGGUAAAGCAGCUAGGCCUUCGGGACAGAAGAGACAGGUGGUGCAUGGUUGUCGUCAGCUCGUGUCGUGAGAUGUUGGGUUAAGUCCCGCAACGAGCGCAACCCUUAUCUUCAGUAGCCAGCAAGUUAAGUUGGGCACUCUGGAGAGACUGCCGGGGAUAACCCGGAGGAAGGCGGGGAUGACGUCAAAUCAUCAUGCCCCUUAUGAUUUGGGCCACACACGUGCUACAAUGGCGUAAACAGAGGGAAGCGAAGGCGCGAGCCGGAGCAAAUCCCAGAAAUAACGUCCCAGUUCGGACUGUAGGCUGCAACCCGCCUACACGAAGCUGGAAUCGCUAGUAAUCGCAGAUCAGAAUGCUGCGGUGAAUACGUUCCCGGGUCUUGUACACACCGCCCGU